ensembl:lncRNA
CCACACUAGAGUGGCCUUCCUGCCCCUCCUCUGCAUUCCUCGGCACUGGAAAAGGGCUGGCAGGUGGCAGAAGAUGCUGCAAAGGGAGGAGGCACAGGCUGCCCCGGGCAUUAACAUGAUUUAGGAGAUACGCAGGUCACCGUCUCCUGACUGAAAGCCGUCCUAGAGUGAAGGUUUGCAGCUAUUUCUGGGCAAAACCGUGUGAUGAGAUGAAAUAGCUCAACUGCUGACCAUUAAGUCAGAGAGGCCGUGGCCCUCGUAAAUCUCAUUCUCUCCGGCCCUCUCUGUGCCGCAUGGGAGCUCAGCCCAGCCAGUGCCAGCUGCCUCGUGGGGUCCUUGUCUGUCCUGGCAGUGCCUCUGAGGACCCGGCGGGCUUUGGUGCCAAGCACUGUGGCUGCACUUGAAAGCCGCCUUGCAUGUUGACUGUUUUCCUGGGUGACCUAGAAUUCCUCCGAGUCUGUACCAGCUCAAACCCUCCACAGCUCACGUGGGACAAGCUGGCUUUGCCGCCUACAUAUCUGACCACUUUAGACAGGUAAGUUUGCCUUCCUGAAUCUUAAUUUCCUCAUUUUAAAAUGUCAGCAAUGAUAGCUCCCUGGCAAGGUUGUUUGUGAGGGUGCAAUGAAAUGAUAAACACAGAGUGCAGAGUGCAUCCUGGUACAAAACAUGCCUUGUGUCCUUUUCUUACAAAGCCGGGCUCAAUUCCGUCCCCUCUUCCUGGGGUGUCCUUCCCCUUUUGUCUUCCUGGGCAAUUCCUACCCAUCCUCCAGGGCCUCCUCCCUAGGGAGCCUUCUUGACUCACCUGAGCACAGCUGAUCUCCUGCUUCCUGCUGUGACUGCACUUGAGACGCUUUGGUAUGGUGGCUUCAAGAUUCAGAGGCGAGGUGACUCUGAAGAAUGGAAAUGGUGGGUUUGCUUUGUGUUUGUGGAACUAGGAAAGGAAGAUGGGAGAUCGAGAAGGUAGUGGUUAGGGGCAAUCUCAAAUGGAGGGAUUUGGGAUUAGGGGAGAUGGGAUUAUUGGAGUCGGGGGAGUAGCUCUGCUCCCUGGCUAGCAGAUGGGAGGAAGAUCCUGCCUGGUCCCUCCAGGACAGUAGGCCUGCAAUUCCACUGGUGGCCACGAGGUGUCAGUGGUGUCCCUGGGGCGGCUGGGUUGAGAGAGGGAGCUGGUAAAACAGAAAGCACUGCUUUUUGAAAAAUUCAGCAUUUGUCCAAUCCCAUAUUAAUGAGGUUAGAGCUGCAGCUCUUGCUUCUCCUGCCCUGCCACAGCUUAUGAUGAUAUUCACUGGUCCCCAUUCUCCCAGUAACCUACAUUGGGGACUGGGCAGGGCCCUCAUGCUGGCUGUGUCCACAGCCCUUUCUCCUGCAGUCAGGAAAGCCCAGAGUGUUGCAAACGAGUGAAAGUGACAAUGCUUGAAUCUGCCCUAAUUUUUUUUUAAAAGUUCAAUUAUUCACAGACUUUGGUACUUUAACACGAGUAAUAUGAUACCAAUGACAUACUUCAAGAUGGUGUGUGGUGACAUUGUAGGUAAGAAACACUGAGCUAGAAAUGCUGGGCAGGUUGCCCUCCUGGGACAGCAAAACUUCCAGCCAGGGGGCCGUUGCUGUCGGGCUUUUCCUGGUUAUCUUUUCAGAGAGGCCGCCGAACAGAGUGAUCAAGAGCACGGCUCUGGAGCCAGGCUGCCUGGGAGCAAGGCUUUCUCUUCCACUCGCCAGCUCUGAGAUCUUAGUUAUGGGUCCUUCUUGCUGUGGCAUGUGGGACGCCACCUCAACGUGGCCUGACGAGUGGUGCCAUGUCCGCACCCAGGAUUCGAGCCAGCAAAACCCGGGCCGCCGAGGCAGAACGUGUGAACUGAACCACUCGGCCAUGGGGCCGGCCCCUUAAUAUUCUUAAUAACAUAGGAAGAAGGGACCCCGCAUUUUCAUUUUGCGCUGGGCCAACAAAUAACGGAGCAGUUCCUGCAAGCAGAUUCCUCUGGUGCAGAAGCCCCUUGCCUUCCUCCUCGUCUGCUCACACUGGUUCCCUUCUCUCAUCCCAGGCGGACCCCCCACCCGGGAGCUUUCCCACAGACUGAGCCUUUGUUUUCCUCCAACAUUUUCAUGAAAAAGUUCAAGCAUAUAGCGAAGUAGAAAGAAUCGUAAACACCUGUACACCUGCCACCUAGGUUCUGCCGUGAAUAUUUCCCGUACCUUCUGCCUUGUGUGUCUAUGGCGAGGCUGUUGCUGUCUUACCUACCCUCAUCCUGGACCCUGUCCUCACCUACUGGCCUCUCGUCUCUUGCUGACGGCUCUAAAGCUUCCAGCCCCGCUGUCUGGACCCAGAAAGGCCUCCCGGGCUGGGGUGGGACGGCGGCCUGCAGGAAGGGGCUCUGCGGCUGCUGGAGGUUCUGGAGAACCUGCUGGGGAAAGGCUGGGACCCAAGUCCCGCCAGACCUGUGGAACCAGGUGCAGAACAGACUAGGAUGUGUUCCAGAAGAGCAAGGAAGGUGCCAUUCUGGAGUGCGUGGACUGAGAUUCCUACUCGUGACCAUAGUCCCUGUUGGUUCCUUUCAUAGUUUCUUAUGCCUCACACAGUCUUCCAAGCGUUUCUCACAAACCUGGUCUGCUGGGCAGACCCCGGUAGCCCUGGGAGGGAGGAGGGAAGAGAUUUUUCUUUCCUCUUCACAGCUGGGGAAACUGAGCCUCAGAAAUUCCUCGCUGACCUGCCCAAGGUCCCGGGGCUCAAAGAGGCGAUCUGGGAACCACACCCAGGUCCUCCGACCCUAAGACCAGGCCUCUUUCUUUUGAUCUCGUCGGGGGAGGGCAACAGUGUCACAUUCCCCUGGGUAACUUGAGAGAAAAAGAAAAAAAACUUUCUCUCUAGGAAAAAAGAGGGUGUCUGGGCUGUGAUUUACCUCUGGGAGCACUUGGGCCAGGAGCGAUCACAUUUCAAAGGGUUAGAACUCAUUUCUUUACUUUUCCAGCUUGGGCCCAGAGCUCAGAACCGGGUGGGCUUCUCCAGGCCCCUCCCAGCAUGCCCACCCCCUCCCAAGUGCCACAGGCAGGUGACACCUGUAUUAUUGCUAAGGGUUAAAAAGCCCCCGAAUCAAUAAAACCCAUUAAUGAGUGUUGGUACCUCGAAGGCUACAGAUAAACCCCUUCUACUCGGUAAGUUCAAUCCCAUAAAACAGCUCUCCUCUUUCGAUCCUGGCAUUCAUUUGAUAGAAAAUGUGCAGAAAUUUUUAAAAGGUGACUUACUAAUUGCCUGUAAAAUAAAAGGCAGAUGGAAGCUUUAUUACAGUUGAAGGAAGUCGGGAAUAUUAAGGUAAAAUGUCAAAUAACAAUUGAUUUUCCUCAGACAUAAAGGGGCGAUUUAUGGCUUCCUAGUUACUACAAAUGAGAAAUUAUUUGAAGUUUUAAAAAGUAUGAGGCGAAAUAAAGAUUAAAUAGAAGAUGAAAUCAUAGGGAUUUCUCUGGGAGGUGACUUCAGUGCCCCUG